rnacentral:rRNA from 1 species
AGACGUCUACAUUACGAUACCCCCGGUAGUCCCAGCCGUAAACUAUGCGCGUUAGGUGUAUCGGUGACCACGAGUCACCGAGGUGCCGAAGGGAAACCGUGAAACGUGCCGCCUGGGAAGUACGGUCGCAAGGCUGAAACUUAAAGGAGUUGGCGGGGAGCACCACAACAGGUGGAGCCUGCGGUUUAAUUGGACUCAACGCCGGGAAGCUCACCGGAUAGGACAGCAGAAUGAUUGCCGGGCUGAAGACCCUGCAUGACUAGCUG